GUCUACGGCCAUGCCACCAUGAACAAGCUCAAUCCCAUCUGAUCUCAGAAGCUAAGCAGAGUAGGUCCUGGUUAGUAUUUGGAUGGGAGACCACCUAGGAAGACCAGGUGCUGUAGGCA
rnacentral:rRNA from 1 species